rnacentral:rRNA from 1 species
UAUUGGUCAAUGGGGGAAACCCUGAACCAGCAACGCCGCGUGAGGGAAGACGGUUUUCGGAUUGUAAACCUCUGUCCUCUGUGAAGAUGAUGACGGUAGCAGAGGAGGAAGCUCCGGCUAACUACGUGCCAGCAGCCGCGGUAAUACGUAGGGAGCGAGCGUUGUCCGGAUUUACUGGGUGUAAAGGGGGCGCAGACGGCAGCGCAAGCCAGGAGUGAAAGCCCGGGGCCCAACCCCGGGACUGCUCUUGGAACUGCGCGGCUGGAGUGCAGGAGGGGCAGGCGGAAUUCCUGGUGUAGCGGUGAAAUGCGUAGAUAUCAGGAGGAACACCGGUGGCGAAGGCGGCCUGCUGGACUGCGACUGACGUUGAGGCCGAAAGCGUGGGGAGCAAACAGG